rnacentral:misc_RNA from 1 species
UCGCGGCUUAUCACCGGCAGUCCCCUCAGAGUGCCCAACUGAAUGAUGGCAACUAAGGGCGAGGGUUGCGCUCGUUGCGGGACUUAACCCAACAUCUCACGACACGAGCUGACGACAGCCACGCAGCACCUGUGCACGGGCUCCGAAGAGGGGUCACUGUUUCCAGCAACUUUCCCGUGCAUGUCAAGCCUAGGUAAGGUUCUGCGCGUUGCGUCGAAUUAAACCACAUGCUCCACCGCUUGUGCGGGCCCCCGUCAAUUUCUUUGAGUUUUAACCUUGCGGCCGUACUCCCCAGGCGGAGAGCUUAAUGCGUUAGCUGCGUCACCAAUAAGCAUGCUUACUGACAACUAGCUCUCAUCGUUUAAGGCGUGGACUAC